CGCCCGCGGGCAGCUGGUGGCCGGCGAGGGCCGUGCGCCCUGGGGCGUGUCCAGCGCGCACCCCGCCGCCCGCCCGCCCGCCAGCCCGCGUGGCCGCAGCGCCCAGCACCCGAGGGCCUCCCAGCCCAAGGCCGCAGAGCUCGCGCUGGCUCGCCACCGCGGGAUUCGAGGGCGCACAUUGCCCUCCGCUGGUUCUCUUUAAAACGCCCGGCUGGUUCCCGGCUUAUCAGCUUUUCCAACGUUUUAACCUCCGGGCGCCUCUCUUGUCUUUUCGCCAGGAAGAAAAAUGGGUGAAGGUUCUGCCCCUGCCGGCGCGCCAGGGCUGUUUCCUGGGGACAAGUAAGAAAGUGUCAUCCACAAAAGAGGCUCGUGUAGCUCGCUCACCGCUGCACCUGCCGCAUCCGCUAGGCGCUCCAAGGACGCUUCUGUUCCCGCUUUGGACCCUUCGUGCCUUCGCCAUCCCCCAGCCCUCGGGCCGAGGCCCCGCAGAUUCCAGCUUCGUGCUAGAGAAUACCCGAGGAGGCUCAAAUAUUGGAUCGCUGCCACCUGCGUGGGAGUUCUGGGCUCCUGACUUUGCUGUCACGGGCAUUUGGGGAGUGAACCAGCAGAUGGAGGGUCCCCGUCUUUCUCUGCCUCUGUGUCUCUGCCUUUCAAAUAAAAAAAAA